UGAACGCUGGCGGCGUGCCUAAUACAUGCAAGUCGAGCGAACGGACGAGAAGCUUGCUUCUCUGAUGUUAGCGGCGGACGGGUGAGUAACACGUGGAUAACCUACCUAUAAGACUGGGAUAACUUCGGGAAACCGGAGCUAAUACCGGAUGAUAUUUUGAACCGCAUGGUUCAAAAGUGAAAGACGGUCUUGCUGUCACUUAUAGAUGGAUCCGCGCUGCAUUAGCUAGUUGGUAAGGUAACGGCUUACCAAGGCAACGAUGCAUAGCCGACCUGAGAGGGUGAUCGGCCACACUGGAACUGAGACACGGUCCAGACUCCUACGGGAGGCAGCAGUAGGGAAUCUUCCGCAAUGGGCGAAAGCCUGACGGAGCAACGCCGCGUGAGCGAUGAAGGUCUUCGGAUCGUAAAACUCUGUUAUUAGGGAAGAACAUAUGUGUAAGUAACUGUGCACAUCUUGACGGUACCUAAUCAGAAAGCCACGGCUAACUACGUG
rnacentral:rRNA from 1 species